GAGUUUGAUCCUGGCUCAGAAUGAACGCUGGCGGCGUGCUUAACACAUGCAAGUCGGACGAGAAAGGCUGAUUUCGGUUGGCCGAGUAAAGUGGCGCACGGGUGAGUAACGCGUAGGCAACCUACCCUUGUAUUGGGGAUAACCCUGCGAAAGUGGGGCUAAUACCGGAUGAGACCCUACUCUGGAGGGGAUAGGGUGAAAGUCGGCCGCUCGGAGAAGCUGACGUACGAGGAUGGGCCUGCGUCCUAUCAGCUGGUUGGUGGGGUAGCGGCCUACCAAGGCGACGACGGGUAGCUGGUCUGAGAGGAUGAUCAGCCACACUGGCACUGGAACACGGGCCAGACUCCUACGGGAGGCAGCAGUGAGGAAUUUUGCGCAAUGGCCGCAAGGCUGACGCAGCAACGCCGCGUGGGUGAUGAAGGCCUUCGGGUCGUAAAGCCCUGUCAGGUGGGAAGAAAGGCCUGGAGAGGAAAGGUUUCAGGUUUGACGGUACCACCAGAGGAAGCACCGGCUAACUCCGUGCCAGCAGCCGCGGUAAUACGGAGGGUGCGAGCGUUAUUCGGAAUUACUGGGCGUAAAGCGCGUGUAGGCGGGGGGACAAGUCUGAUGUGAAAGCCCUGGGCUUAACCUGGGAAGUGCAUUGGAAACUGUUUUUCUUGAGUACUGGAGAGGAAGGGGGAAUUCCCGGUGUAGAGGUGAAAUUCGUAGAGAUCGGGAGGAAUACCAGUGGCGUAGGCGCCCUUCUGGACGGUAACUGACGCUGAGACGCGAAAGCGUGGGGAGCAAACAGGAUUAGAUACCCUGGUAGUCCACGCUGUAAACGAUGAUCACUAGGUGUAGCGGGUACUCAUUCCUGCUGUGCCGCAGCUAACGCGUUAAGUGAUCCGCCUGGGGGAUUACGGU
rnacentral:rRNA from 1 species